rnacentral:rRNA from 1 species
GACGAACGCUGGCGGCGUGCUUAACACAUGCCAGUCGAACGGAAAGGCCCUGCUUGCAGGGUACUCGAGUGGCGAACGGGUGAGUAACACGUGGGUGAUCUGCCCUGCACUUCGGGAUAAGCCUGGGAAACUGGGUCUAAUACCGGAUAGGAGCCAUUUUUAGUGUGAUGGUUGGAAAGUUUUUUCGGUGUAGGAUGAGCUCGCGGCCUAUCAGCUUGUUGGUGGGGUAAUGGCCUACCAAGGCGGCGACGGGUAGCCGGCCUGCGAGGGUGGACGGCCACAUUGGGACUGAGAUACGGGCCAGACUCCUACGGGAGGCAGCAGUGGGGAAUAUUGCACAAUGGGGGCGAGCCUGAUGCAGCGACGCCGCGUGGGGGAUGACGGCCUUCGGGUUGUAAACUCCUUUCGCUAGGGACGAAGCUGUUUGUGACGGUACCUAGAUAAGAAGCACCGGCUAACUACGUG